rnacentral:rRNA from 1 species
CCUUAGUAGCGGCGAGCGAAGCGGGAGGAGCCCAAGCUCUGAAUCUGGGCGCGCGCCAAGUCCGUGCCCCGAAUUGUGGUCUCAUGGCAAGGCAUCGCUGAGCGCGGUCGCUGGUCGGGCAAAAGUCCCUUGGAAAAGGGCGCCAGGGAGGGUGACAGCCCCGUCCAUUGGUCCGGCAUCGCGGCCGUCUCGAUUGCGCUGUUGCACUUGCCCCAGAGUCGGGUUGUUUGGGAAUGCAGCCCUAAGCGGGUGGUAAAUCCCACCCAAGGCUAAAUAUUGUCAGCGAGAGACCGAUAGCGAACAAGUACCGUGAGGGAAAGAUGAAAAGGACUUUGAAAAGAGAGUCAAAAGUGCUUGAAAUUGUUAGGAGGGAAGCGAUCGGCGCCGGCGGUUCGUCUUUAGUUCGGGGCUGUUCAGUGGUGCCUGCUUGUCGGGAGGGCCGCAGCGGCGGGGAGUGCUCACGUGCCUCCGCUCUGUGUUCGUUCUGGCGCAAACCAUGCAUUCAGUCCCGGCGACGAGCCAGCAUCGGCUUCAUGUUUAGUGCGCGUGGCUGACGGGCGCUGGGGAUCAAAGGGCCUGGCGGGCCGGCUUCACAGCCGUGUCCCACCGGUGCGACCCAGCGUACCUGCCAUCGCAGGGGCCGAGGAACCAAUUAACCCAUGCCCGCAAGGGCGAGGCAGUGUGUCAUCGUGGCGGGCAUGCGUGUGGGGAUCGGGAACCGAUGCCUGUGUGCAUGCCUGUCGCUCUGUGGCACGCGUCCAUCUCUGGUGGGUUAGUGAUGCUGGCGGAACGGCGCUGAUCGAAC